CGCAAUUGCUUUUCUCCGGACAUACUUUUCUUCUUAAACAAAAUGGCUGUUUUGAAAUUGCAGAAAAUUUACAAAAGCUUUCGAACACGAAGAAAGCUUGGAGAUUGUGCUGUUCAGUGACUGAUUUCGGGGGAGUUUACAAUGGGUUAUUCUCAAACAACAGUUGCACGAAGAUUUGGUUGGGUUUUAGCCGAGAGAUAGAAAGAGAAGAUGAUGGUGUUGUCACUGAUAAUCUGGAUUGAAUGUGAAGAUUUGUGUAUGUCGAAUGGCUUCUGAAUAUUGGUGUGUGUGUGUUUAGUUUGUAUUGUGUCGGAAUUUGGAGAGCCAUAAAAGGUGACUCUUGAUGCAACAACAACAACAACACUGCAUUGUGCUCAACAACUGUUUGCUUAAUUGCCUGAACUAAAAAUUGAUACUGGUGCCUGAGAUUUGUGGACGUGUUUGAAGUAUCAUGUUUCAAUUAGAAACUCAAGAAGAACACUAGGAAUCAUCUGAGUUCAGUAGAUAAAAGUGAUUCGAGUUAGUAGUAGACUUGGUAGAAUCAGGUGGAAUUGUCAGAAAAGAGACCCUCCAAAAACAUAUCAAAGAUUGAGUGGUCGGAUAACAGGCAUAAAAGAUAGCUAUCUUUGCUAGCUCAGCCUCUUUGCUAAGUUGAUUGAGAAGAGGAACGUCAAAGACUUGAUCACCAACUCUGGCUUGGUGAGGUGGUGGUAGUGCUGUCAUCGCUGUCUCUGCUUCAUCAGGCGUUACAGCUGCUGCAGCUGUUGUUGCACUGAAAGCCGAGGAGAAGGAUUGUCAUGAGCUCCAAGUGAAUUCUUUUUUAUGGACAUUCGUUCUUUAUCCAAGUAUGCACGAUGUGAAUAAAAAAUGCAUCGCGACAGGGGCGAGGCGAAGCCGAGCCAUACCAAAUUAAAGAUCCUAAACGACGGAGGCGAGGCAAAACCAAACCAUACCAAAUCAAGAAUCCUAAGCAUAUAACGGGACGGGGUGAGACAAAACCGAGCCACCCCAAAUCAAAAAUCCUAAGCAUGCAUACACCAAAUGAAAGAUCCUAAGUGACGGGGCGAGGCGAGGCCGAGCCACACCAAAACAAAAAUCCUAAGCAUGCAUCAGGACGGGGCGAAGCGAAACCGGGCAACACCAAAUCAAAGAUCCUAAGCAACGAGGGCGAGACGAACCUGAGCCACACCAAAU